rnacentral:lncRNA from 1 species
UGACAAGCAGGAAUCACAUCACCGUCGAAAAUAAGGCUAUUCCUAGAUAGCCAAAUCUGGCAAAUAAUGUAAGCUAUCAUUCCGGCAACAGCAGUCGACCCGUCGGUCACACUCUGAUGAAUCAAACCAAAGAAGAAAAUCAACCAAAGAUUAAUGCUCAUCUCCCAAGGAUAACCAUCCGUUUGUCUCCAAAUGACCCUUGCCCUCGUGCAGCGUAGAACAACAUGCUUCACAGACUCAUCCUCCAUUCCAC